rnacentral:lncRNA from 1 species
UCGUUAUUAACACUAUGGAUAGAAUAAUUAUAAUUUUUGUAAUAUCUAUUACGAUGGUAUAACUGGUCGUUAUUGUAAAAUAGAGCGGUUAGUAAUAUAACUAAUUAAAUACAGCGGUAAAUAAUGUGGUCGUUAAUAGUAUAUAACGACUAGCAGUUUAUUUUGGCCGUCACUAUUUUUAACGAAGGAAGUUUUUACGACGGGUCACGACGGAUGGAAUUUCUAUCGUUACUGACCUUUAACGACGGAAAUAUGGGUUAUCAACGACGGUAUUUCCUUUCGUUAAAUAAAGUAUUUCCUGCAGUAUAAAUUAUAAGAAAUGAACGAAAUAGUGAUAGAACCCUGACGAAGGAGAGCUAAAUACAAAAAUUUGAAAUGUUGAGAGGAUAAAAUAUAAAUUUUUUAAAAUUAAGAUGAAAAAAUAAAAAAAUAAAUAUUUAUAAGAAGUUUUUUUAUAAUUUAG